GGUGGCUCAGUGGUUAAGAGCACUGGCUGUUCUUCCAGAGGUCCUGAGUUCAAUUCCCAGCACCA
rnacentral:tRNA from 1 species